rnacentral:rRNA from 1 species
CCGCGGUAAUACGGAGGGUGCAAGCGUUAAUCGGAAUUACUGGGCGUAAAGCGCACGCAGGCGGUCUGUCAAGUCGGAUGUGAAAUCCCCGGGCUCAACCUGGGAACUGCAUUCGAAACUGGCAGGCUUGAGUCUUGUAGAGGGGGGUAGAAUUCCAGGUGUAGCGGUGAAAUGCGUAGAGAUCUGGAGGAAUACCGGUGGCGAAGGCGGCCCCCUGGACAAAGACUGACGCUCAGGUGCGAAAGCGUGGGGAGCAAACAGGAUUAGAUACCCUGGUAGUCCACGCCGUAAACGAUGUCUACUUGGAGGUUGUGCCCUUGAGGCGUGGCUUCCGGAGCUAACGCGUUAAGUAGACCGCCUGGGGAGUACGGCCGCAAGGUUAAAACUCAAAUGAAUUGACGGGGGCCCGCACAAGCGGUGGAGCAUGUGGUUUAAUUCGAUGCAACGCGAAGAACCUUACCUGGUCUUGACAUCCACAGAAGAAUCCAGAGAUGGAUUUGUGCCUUCGGGAACUGUGAGACAGGUGCUGCAUGGCUGUCGUCAGCUCGUGUUGUGAAAUGUUGGGUUAAGUCCCGCAACGAGCGCAACCCUUAUCCUUUGUUGCCAGCGGUCCGGCCGGGAACUCAAAGGAGACUGCCAGUGAUAAACUGGAGGAAGGUGGGGAUGACGUCAAGUCAUCAUGGCCCUUACGACCAGGGCUACACACGUGCUACAAUGGCGCAUACAAAGAGAAGCGACCUCGCGAGAGCAAGCGGACCUCAUAAAGUGCGUCGUAGUCCGGAUUGGAGUCUGCAACUCGACUCCAUGAAGUCGGAAUCGCUAGUAAUCGUGGAUCAGAAUGCCACGGUGAAUACGUUCCCGGGCCUUGUACACACCGCCCGUCACACCAUGGGAGUGGGUUGCAAAAGAAGUAGGUAGCUUAACCUUCGGGAGGGCGCUUACCACUUUGUGAUUCAUGACUGGGGUGAAGUCGUAACAAGGUAACCGUAGGGGAACCUGCGGUUGGAUCACCUCCUUACCUUAAAGAA